GCUGAACUCAAAGCAACUUCUGAAAACAAACACUCGGAUUAUAGUGAUAUUAUGUCUGAUCUUGCAAACAAUGUAAAAUAUGUAUAGAUGGAUGUAAUUUAGAGUCGAUUGUGUUGAUGUUUAAUCUGAGGGUAUCCUGCUAUUGACAUCUUUUUUGUUGAAUUAUGCAACAGAACGUGACAACAACAGUAAUUAAUGAGGCAGUCUAGACAGAGCAGGUGAGUCCAGGUAGGCCUAGACAGAGCAGGUGAGUCCAGGUAGGCCUAGACAGAGCAGGUGAGUCCAGGUAGGCCUAGACAGAGCAGGUGAGUCCAGGUAGGCCUAGACAGAGCAGGUGAGUCCAGGUAGGCCUAGACAGAGCAGGUGAGUCCAGGUAGGCCUAGACAGAGCAG
rnacentral:lncRNA from 1 species